rnacentral:misc_RNA from 1 species
GAUGAAGAACGCAGCGAAAUGCGAUAAGUAAUGUGAAUUGCAGAAUUCAGUGAAUCAUCGAAUCUUUGAACGCACAUUGCGCCCGCCAGCAUUCUGGUGGGCAUGCCUGUUCGAGCGUCAUUUCAACCCUCGACUUCCCUUUGGGGAAAUCGGCGUUGGGGACCGGCUGUAUACCGCCGGCCCCGAAAUGAAGUGGCGGCCCGUCCGCGGCGACCUCUGCGUAGUAAUCCAACUCGCACCGGAACCCCGACGUGGCCACGCCGUAAAACCCCCGACUUCUGAACGUUGACCUCGGAUCAGGUAGGAAUACCCGCUGAACUUAAGCAUAUCAAUAAGCGGAGGA